rnacentral:rRNA from 1 species
AGCGAACGCUGGCGGCAGGCUUAACACAUGCAAGUCGAGCGGGCGUAGCAAUACGUCAGCGGCAGACGGGUGAGUAACGCGUGGGAACAUACCUUUUGGUUCGGAACAACACAGGGAAACUUGUGCUAAUACCGGAUAAGCCCUUACGGGGAAAGAUUUAUCGCCGAAAGAUUGGCCCGCGUCUGAUUAGCUAGUUGGUGAGGUAACGGCUCACCAAGGCGACGAUCAGUAGCUGGUCNGAGAGGAUGAUCAGCCACAUUGGGACUGAGACACGGCCCAAACUCCUACGGGAGGCAGCAGUGGGGAAUAUUGGACAAUGGGCGCAAGCCUGAUCCAGCCAUGCCGCGUGAGUGAUGAAGGCCCUAGGGUUGUAAAGCUCUUUCGGCGGGACGAUAAUGACGGUACCGCAGAAGAAGCCCCGGCUAACUUCGUGCCAGCAGCCGCUAGU